rnacentral:lncRNA from 1 species
GCGAGGGUCACCCGGCCGGCCCGGCGGACCCAGCACGGAGAGCACGUGCCGCCUCCCCGCCUUCCUCUCCGCAUGCUUCCUGCCGUUCUGCCGAGAUCGCUCUCUAGGAAGCUGUGGCUGCGUCGUCCUGAGGCUACGAGUGGGACCCGCCGCCCCUUUCCCCGCCCCUCGCCUGGGUCUGAUGCUGCUUAGCAAAGUGGGUGCAGAUGCACGUUUUAAAU